rnacentral:rRNA from 1 species
GAGUUUGAUCCUGGCUCAGAUUGAACGCUGGCGGCAGGCCUAACACAUGCAAGUCGAACGGUAACAGGAAGAAGCUUGCUUCUUUGCUGACGAGUGGCGGACGGGUGAGUAAUGUCUGGGAAACUGCCUGAUGGAGGGGGAUAACUACUGGAAACGGUAGCUAAUACCGCAUAACGUCGCAAGACCAAAGAGGGGGACCUUCGGGCCUCUUGCCAUCGGAUGUGCCCAGAUGGGAUUAGCUAGUAGGUGGGGUAACGGCUCACCUAGGCGACGAUCCCUAGCUGGUCUGAGAGGAUGACCAGCCACACUGGAACUGAGACACGGUCCAGACUCCUACGGGAGGCAGCAGUGGGGAAUAUUGCACAAUGGGCGCAAGCCUGAUGCAGCCAUGCCGCGUGUAUGAAGAAGGCCUUCGGGUUGUAAAGUACUUUCAGCGGGGAGGAAGGGAGUAAAGUUAAUACCUUUGCUCAUUGACGUUAUCCGCAGAAGAAGCACCGGCUAACUCCGUGCCAGCAG